rnacentral:rRNA from 1 species
GAUGAAUGCUGGCGGCGUGCCUAACACAUGCAAGUCGAGCGGCAGCGCGAGUAGUUUACUACUUGGCGGCGAGCGGCGGACGGCUGAGUAACGCGUGGGAACGUGCCCCAAAGUGAGGAAUAACUGCUCGAAAGGGUGGCUAAUGCCGCAUAUGAUCUUCGGAUUAAAGUCUUCGGACGCUUUGGGAGCGGCCCGCGUCGGAUUAGGUUGUUGGUGAGGUAAUGGCUCACCAAGCCGACGAUCCGUAGCUGGUCUGAGAGGAUGAUCAGCCAGACUGGGACUGAGACACGGCCCAGACUCCUACGGGAGGCAGCAAUGAGGAAUAUUGGACAAUGGGGGAAACCCUGAUCCAGCUAUGCCGCGUGAGUGAUGAAGGCCUUCGGGUUGUAAAGCUCUUUAGUCGGGGACGAUAAUGACGGUACCCGAAGAAUAAGCUCCGGCAAACUUCGUGCCAGCAGCCGCCGUAA